rnacentral:rRNA from 1 species
UACGUAGGUGGCAAGCGUUGUCCGGAUUUACUGGGCGUAAAGAGCGCGCAGGCGGUCGUUCAAGUCGCGUGUGAAAGCCCCCGGCUCAACUGGGGAGGGUCACGCGAUACUGAUCGACUCGAAGGCAGGAGAGGGUAGUGGAAUUCCCGGUGUAGUGGUGAAAUGCGUAGAUAUCGGGAGGAACACCAGUGGCGAAGGCGACUUACUGGACACAUAUUGACGCUGAGGUGCGAAAGCGUGGGGAGCAAACAGG